UGGGGCGUCGUCUAACGGCAGGACUGCGGAUUCUGGCUCCGCCAAUCGUGGUUCGAAUCCACGCGCCCCAG
rnacentral:tRNA from 1 species